CCUACGGGAGGCAGCAGUGGGGAAUCUUGCGCAAUGGGCGAAAGCCUGACGCAGCAACGCCGCGUGAGGGAAGAAGGCCUUCGGGUUGUAAACCUCUUUCAGAUGGGAAGAAGCCACCGGGGUUAAUAGCCCACGGGUGACGGUACCUUCAGAAGAAGCCCCGGCUAACUACGUGCCAGCAGCCGCGGUAAUACGUAGGGGGCAAGCGUUGUCCGGAAUCAUUGGGCGUAAAGCGCGUGUAGGCGGCUUGGUAAGUCUGGCGUGAAAUCUUGGGGCUCAACCCCAAGCCUGCGCUGGAUACUGCCUCGCUCGAGUCCGGGAGAGGAAAGCGGAAUUCCCAGUGUAGCGGUGAAAUGCGCAGAUAUUGGGAAGAACACCGAUGGCGAAGGCAGCUUUCUGGAAACGGUACUGACGCUGAGACGCGAAAGCGUGGGGAGCAAACAGGAUUAGAUACCCUGGUAGUCCACGCCGUAAACGAUGGCACUAGUGUGGCGUGUCGACUCCGUCGUGACGAGCUACGCAUUAAGCGCCCCGCGUGGNGGACGGCGCGAGACGUAAACUAAAGUAGAGUAGAGCGNGAGAGCGACGACGACGACGACGAGGGAGAGG
rnacentral:rRNA from 1 species